AUGUUUACAAUAGGAGAAGGUGGAGAAGGUUCAGAUGAAACAGAUACACAAGGUGAAGAAGUAAAAGGUUCAGAUGUUAUCUUAAUAUUUUUCUCAGGGGUUGUUCCUGCUACCUUUCUAGAUCGCAAAGAGAUUGUGUUAACAUUGACAUUAGGACCACCAUUCGGAUUGACAACAGUUUGGGCUGGAAGUUGGAGUUGUGCAUAG